AAGCCUCAAUUUCAUUCGACGAUUUUUCAAUGCAAUUGCUCAAUUUUGAGCUCUUAUUGAAUGCUCAUGUCAAGACGGUCCCACCUGAAGCCAAUCAGGUGGCUUUCUUCACACAAAAGCCAAAACAGCAACGCUACAAUAGGAAGCACAAGUUCCAACCACCACAAGCUUUCAAUCAGUGAUCUCAACCUUCUCAGCAGUAUCCAAAUCAGCCAAAUCGGUCUCUACCAAGCUCCAAAACUGUAGGACCCACGCAGCAUAAUGGUAAAUCCUUCUCAAGUUCUCAAAUUUUUACUAGUUACUACCAAUUGGACUCCCUAUCAAAUUUGUGGAAAGACAAAUCAUCAGGCACUUGAUUGCAACCACAGUAUGAAUUUCUCAUACCAAGUUAGACAUCCACCUUCCCAACUAGCAGUCAUGGUGGCAUAUACACAUGAUAUUCAAGACAAUGAACGACCAUGAUGCUUGGGUAGUGGUGCAAACAAUAACGAAACUGCAGAGCUUGAGAAUCUGACUCUGCAGCAUCCUUACCAGGGAAUUGACAGUGUGACAGUGGCAAAUGGAGGAAGAUUGCAGAUUGCCAACGCUGGAUUUGCUGACCAAGGAAAUCAUCCUGCAAGGGCCGAGUGAAGAGGGGUUAUACCCCAUUUACCUCAAACAGCUUCUUCAGAGAAAAUAUUCGGCUAAGGCUGCUUUCAUUUCAUGUUUUACCGCUUCCCUAGGUGUCACAGCACAUAUUCAUGUAUGGCAUUCUAGGCUUGGUCACCCGUCAGAGUCCAUCAUUCAGAAAUUAAUUAAGGAGUCUUUGUUACCUGUGUCUGGUUCGGUUAAAUUCAUUAAGUUGUGUGAAUUGUGUCAUGUUGCUAAGAGUAGGAAGUUGCCUUUUUUCUGAUUCCAUAAGAAGAUCUACACAUCCUCUUCGAUUAAUUCAUUUGGAUGUAUGGACUUCACCAGUCGUAUCAGUUGGUGGUUGUAAGUUUUACAUUGUUUUUAUU